rnacentral:rRNA from 1 species
UGAGUAACACGUGGGCAACCUGCCCCUCACACUGGGAUAACUCCGGGAAACCGGAGCUAAUACCGGAUAUUCGCCCCUGCAGGCAUCUGCGGGGGCGGAAAGGAUUCUGGUGAGGGAUGGGCCCGCGGCCUAUCAGCUUGUUGGUGAGGUAACGGCUCACCAAGGCGACGACGGGUAGCCGGCCUGAGAGGGCGACCGGCCACACUGGGACUGAGACACGGCCCAGACUCCUACGGGAGGCAGCAGUGGGGAAUAUUGCGCAAUGGGCGAAAGCCUGACGCAGCAACGCCGCGUGCGGGAUGACGGCCUUCGGGUUGUAAACCGCUUUCAGCAGGGAAGAAGCCGCAAGGUGACGGUACCUGCAGAAGAAGCACCGGCUAACUACGUGCCAGCAGCCGCGGUAAUACGUAGGGUGCAAGCGUUGUCCGGAUUUAUUGGGCGUAAAGAGCUCGUAGGCGGUAUGUCGCGUCGGAUGUGAAAACCCAAGGCUCAACCUUGGGCCUGCAUCCGAUACGGGCACACUAGAGUGUGGUAGGGGAGACUGGAACUCCUGGUGUAGCGGUGAAAUG